rfam:Camelus ferus unplaced genomic scaffold scaffold997, whole genome shotgun sequence.
AAGGGUAUAGCUCCGUGGUGGAGUGCCUGCCUAGCAUGCAUGAGGUCCUGGGUUCAAUCCCCAGCACCUCCA